rnacentral:rRNA from 1 species
UACGUAGGGGGCGAGCGUUGUUCGGAUUUAUUGGGCGUAAAGGGCUCGUAGGCGGCCAACUAAGUCAGACGUGAAAUCCCCAGGCUCAACCUGGGAACUGCGUCUGAUACUGGAUGGCUUGAAUCCGGGAGAGGGAUGCAGAAUUCCAGGUGUAGCGGUGAAAUGCGUAGAUAUCUGGAGGAAUACCGGUGGCGAAGGCGGCAUCCUGGACCGGCAUUGACGCUGAGGAGCGAAAGCUAGGGGAGCAAACGGG